CCUACGGGGGACAGCAGUGAGGAAUAUUGGUCAAUGGGCGCGAGCCUGAACCAGCCAAGUAGCGUGAAGGAUGACUGCCCUACGGGUUGUAAACCUCUUUUAUGCGGGGAUAAAGGUGUCCACGUGUGGAUGUUUGUAUGUACCUUAUGAAUAAGGAUCGGCUAACUCCGUGCCAGCAGCCGCGGUAAUACGGAGGAUCCGAGCGUUAUCCGGAUUUAUUGGGUUUAAAGGGUGCGUAGGCGGCCUUUUAAGUCAGCGGUGAAAGUCUGUGGCUCAACCAUAGAAUUGCCGUUGAAACUGGGAGGCUUGAGUAUGUGUGAGGCAGGCGGAAUGCGUGGUGUAGCGGUGAAAUGCUUAGAUAUCACGCAGAACCCCGAUUGCGAAGGCAGCCUGCCAAGCCAUGACUGACGCUGAUGCACGAAAGCGUGGGGAUCAAACAGGAUUAGAUACCCCUGUAGUC
rnacentral:rRNA from 1 species